AUGGAUCGGAGGUGUUUGUUGGAGGAUCCAUGGUUUCGUCGCCGUUUUCACAUGCUGAAACCAUUGUUUUUGCGCAUUGUGAAGGGAGUAGAGGCACACGACUACUACUUCAAGCUCACAAGGGAUUGCUACGACCAACUCUCUUUCUCGGCCAAGCAGAAGUGCAUGGCUGCUCUGAGGAUGCUUGCACUUGGUACUGCUACAGAUACCGUUGGUGAGAUGACCAAGAGCACGUGCUUGAAGACUACUGUCAAGUUUGUCCGUGCCGUGGUGGAGGUGUUUGGACCUGAGUAUCUUAGAAAACCAAAUGCGCAUGACACAGAGAAGUUGUUGGCUAUUGGAGAGGCAAGGGGGUUUCUAGGAAUGCUCAGAUCAAUUGAUUGCAUGCAUUGGCAAUGGAAGAACUGCCCCAAAGGUUUGUGCGGACUGUAUCAAGGUCACACUAGAGGGGUCACCAUCAUACUAGAAGCGGUGGCAUCACAUGACUUAUGGAUUUGGCAUGCUUUUUUUGGAAUGUCGGGUUCUCACAACGACAUCAACGUGCUUCAACUAUCUCCGGUGUUCAGGAGGCUUUGCAAUGGGGAAUCACCCUAUGCAACUACACCCUCAACGACCGAGAGUACAACAUGGGUUAUUAUCUUGCUGAUGGUAUCUAUCCUCAGUGGGCGGCGUCUAUGA
rnacentral:rRNA from 1 species